UGCACGGUGGCGCAGUUGGUAGCACUGUUGCCUUGCAGCAAGAAAGUUGUGGGUUCAAUUCCCAACUUUCUGCAU